AACGAACGCUGGCGGCAGGCUUAACGCAUGCAAGUCGAGCGCCUCGCCAGAGGAUCGGCAGACUGGUGGGUAGCGCGUGGGGACGUACCCUUAUCUUCGGACUAGCUCUGGGAAACUGGAAGUAAUACCGAAUGUGCCCUUAGGGGGAAAGAUUUAUCGGAUAAGGAUCGGCCCGCGUUGGAUUAGCUAGUUGGUGGGGUAAAGGCCUACCAAGGCGACGAUCCAUAGCUGGUCUGAGAGGAUGAUCAGCCACAUUGGGACUGAGACACGGCCCAAACUCCUACGGAAGGGAGCAGUGGGGAACAUUGGGGAAGGGGCGCAAGUGUGAUCAAGCCAUGCCGGGUGAGUGAGGAAGGGCUUAGGGUUGUAAAGCUCUUUCACAGGAGAAGAGAAUGACGGUAACCGGAGAAGAAGCACCGGCUAACUACGUG
rnacentral:rRNA from 1 species